rnacentral:rRNA from 1 species
UACGGAGGGUGCAACCGUUGCUCGGAAUCAUUGGGCGUAAAGCGCACGUAGGCGGACCGCUAAGUCGGAUGUGAAAGCCCUCGGCUUAACCGAGGAAGUGCAUUCGAAACUGACGGUCUUGAGUAUGGAAGAGGGUCGCGGAAUUCCCGGUGUAGAGGUGAAAUUCGUAGAUAUCGGGAGGAACACCAGUGGCGAAGGCGGCGACCUGGGCCAAUACUGACGCUGAGGUGUGAAAGCGUGGGGAGCGAACAGG